rnacentral:rRNA from 1 species
UAAUACAUGCAAGUCGAACGGUAACAUGAGUAGCAAUACUUGAUGACGAGUGGCGCACGGGUGCGUAACGCGUAUGCAAUCUACCUUCAACUGGUGAAUAGCCCGAAGAAAUUCGGAUUAAUACACCAUAGUAUAAUUGAGUGGCAUCACUUAAUUAUUAAAACUCCGGUGGUUGAAGAUGAGCAUGCGUGACAUUAGCUAGUUGGUGAGGUAAUGGCUCACCAAGGCUACGAUGUCUAGGGGAUCUGAGAGGAUUAACCCCCACACUGGUACUGAGACACGGACCAGACUCCUACGGGAGGCAGCAGUAAGGAAUAUUGGACAAUGGUCGAAAGACUGAUCCAGCCAUGCCGCGUGCAGGAUGACAGCCCUAUGGGUCGUAAACUGCUUUUGUGCGAGAAAAAACCCCUCUACGUGUAGAGGGCUGAUUGUAUCGUAAGAAUAAGGAUCGGCUAACUCCGUGCCAGCAGCCGCGGUAAUACGGAGGAUCCAAGCGUUAUCCGGAUUCAUUGGGUUUAAAGGGUGCGUAGGCGGAAUGAUAAGUCAGUGGUGAAAGCCUGUUGCUUAACAACAGAACUGCCAUUGAUACUGUCAAUCUUGAGUACAUUUGAUGUGGGCGGAAUGUGUCAUGUAGCGGUGAAAUGCUUAGAUAUGACACAGAACACCGAUUGCGAAGGCAGCUCACAAAACUGUAACUGACGCUGAGGCACGAAAGCGUGGGUAUCAAACAGGAUUAGAUACCCUGGUAGUCCACGCUGUAAACUAUGAUUACUCGAUGUUUGCGAUACACUGUAAGCGUCUAAGCGAAAGCGAUAAGUA